AUUGAACGCUGGCGGCAGGCCUAACCCAUGCAAGUCGAGCGAGCGGCGGACGGGUGAGAAAUGUAUGGGGACUGCCCGAUAGAGGGGGAGAACUACUGGAAACGGUAGCUAAUAUCGCAUAUUAUCGUAUAACUCAUAUGGGAUUAGCUCGUAGGUGGGGUAAUGGAUCACCUAGGCGACGAUCCCUAGCUGGUCUGUGAGGAUGAUCAGCCACACUGGGACUGAGACACGGCCCAGACUCCUACGGAGGCAGCAGUGGGGAAUAUUGCACAAUGGGCGCAAGCCUGAUACAGCCAUGCCGCGUGUAUGAAGAAGGCCCUAGGGUUGUAAAGUACUUUCAGUCGGGAGGCGUUACCGACAGAAGAAGCACCGGCUAACUCCGUGCCAGCAGCCGCGGUAAUAC
rnacentral:rRNA from 1 species